rnacentral:rRNA from 1 species
CGGAUGCUGACGAGUGGCGAACGGGUGAGUAAUACAUCGGAACGUGCCCAGUAAUGGGGGAUAGCUCGGCGAAAGCCGGAUUAAUACCGCAUACGCCCUGAGGGGGAAAGUGGGGGACCGCAAGGCCUCACGUUAUUGGAGCGGCCGAUGGCUGAUUAGCUAGUUGGUAGGGUAAAGGCCUACCAAGGCGACGAUCAGUAGCUGGUCUGAGAGGACGAUCAGCCACACUGGGACUGAGACACGGCCCAGACUCCUACGGGAGGCAGCAGUGGGGAAUUUUGGACAAUGGGGGAAACCCUGAUCCAGCAAUGCCGCGUGUGCGAAGAAGGCCUUCGGGUUGUAAAGCACUUUUGUCAGGGAAGAAAUCCUUUGGGCUAAUACCCUAGGGGGAUGACGGUACCUGAAGAAUAAGCACCGGCUAACUACGUGCCAGCAGCCGCGGUAAUACGUAGGGUGCGAGCGUUAAUCGGAAUUACUGGGCGUAAAGCGUGCGCAGGCGGUUGUGUAAGACAGGUGUGAAAUCCCCGGGCUUAACCUGGGAAUUGCAUUUGUGACUGCACGACUAGAGUGUGUCAGAGGGGGGUGGAAUUCCACGUGUAGCAGUGAAAUGCGUAGAUAUGUGGAGGAACACCAAUGGCGAAGGCAGCCCCCUGGGAUAACACUGACGCUCAUGCACGA